rnacentral:sRNA from 1 species
UAUUUAUUAAAUUAUUCUCAUUUGCAGCAGCAUACGAUUUAUACUGUUUAAUAGAAAAACAUUGUUUGAUUUUAAAUGCAAAGCUUUCUUUUCGAACAAAAAUUAAUUACCAAUAUUGUAUUGAGUAAAUAUGUUAUCAAUAAAUGAAAGCUUACUCUUGUAUUAAUAGAACAAUAGGUUUCAACGGAAACUAACAUAAAUAGGUAAGGGCAUCUUGCGAUUUAUUAGGCAUUUAUUAAUUUGGUUUAGUUUGUAUUAUGGGAAAUCUAAGGAGCAUUAAGGACCCUUGAUUCUUGGAACCCAUCGACGCAAUUUCCUGUUUCAAAUCUUAGGGUAAGCCCCAAUCCCUAAGCUUUUGGCUCCAUUUGGCAGCGUCCAGCUUCAAUUAGUCGGCAAAUUAGACUACGGCAGGCAAGGGACAAAUGAAAUUGCUGACCUCAAAUCCUGGCCACGCACGCAACAAUCCAAGAGGCUGCAGGAUAUGGGCGAGGAUUAGGACUGAGCCUGGGCCCAGACUGAAACCGAUGCCAAGAAAUGUGCGUGGGAAAUGGCAAUAGAUGGAGAGACUAAAAGGAACGUGUGUGUGUCUGUUUGGCCAGAAGGUGUUUCUUGUUUUUCGGCCUGUUUCCUGCCUUUGAACCGGCUUUCCUUAUGCCCAAUGCAAGGCUUAGUACUACGAUCUGACAGGCAUAUGGCCAAGGAGCACGGUCACGAUCCCGCAGGAUAAUCAUGUAAAUUAAAUUAUGCUUUUCCCAUGCAUAUUAAACUACAAAUCGCACGAGGAUUACGCCGCCAAGCGGAAUCCAACUGGCGCACAAAAUAAAUGUGUCCCCACAAGAAGGUCGACGACUUAGGAGCCAACAACAAGCACUCUAAUGAAAAUGCUUAAGCGAGAGCUCUUGGGGGUUUCCACCGCCCUCGUCAACUUGUUGGCCCCACAGGCAGCGACGUCUUUUGUCAUGACGUUGAUGGAAUUAAAAUAAUUUCUCUUGGCAAUUUUCUCCUUUUCCCUUGCGUUCACCUUUCCUAGCUAAAUUGUGGCUUUUCCGUCUGCCGCGGCACCUGAGUGUCUGUGCUUAACCCACUCUCGCCCCCCCGUUCACCUUAACCCGCCGCAGUGCCGCAGAUUCCACGCCCAUUUUCCAGAUUCAACAACUAUCAGCUGCGAUUGAACGACUUGAUGGUGAUGAGGUUGUGACUGCAAAUUUGUGACAAUGUCGCGUGCUUCUGGAUUCCAAUACACAGGACGAAAUAUAGGUAUGUCGGUACUCCAACUUAAAUGUGCAUAUUAAAUCGAAUAAUUUAAAGGACUAGCAACAUUCCUUAAAUUACGGUUAAUAUCAUAUAUUAAUACUGGUUUUAUUUUCAUUGCUCUCUUUUUUAUUUGCCAUGUGCACUUUAUCUGUUUGCGAGUGGCGUGGCUGAAAAUAGCGCGGAAUGGCAACAAUAAUGUGAACGGGAAACCGGGAAGCGGACUAAAAACAGCCAGCGAUGCGUUUGCGGUCAGCUACAAAAAUAGCAGGAGAAUAGCAGAACAGCAGGCAGCGGGCAAAAAGUGACGUCCUGGGCCGACUGAAGGAAUUGGGUCAACUGCAACCGCCAGUUGGCAGCAGCUGCGGUUGCAUAAACUCCACGCUCCCCGUCCGUUCGAUUGCCAUGGGGUGUUAAAGAAGGAGAAAGAGUAGAAGGCUGGCUGACGCGGAGGAAGCAACUUCAAUGCAAUUGCCGCACGGGAAAUACAAAAUACGCCAUAAAUUUCCAGCUAAUAAAGCAAAGUGCAAAGGGGCAGGAAACUGCGAAUCGGGCGGAUUGAGUAGCCUGACCAAAUGAAAUAUUCAUUGGCUGGGGGUAACUGGACCAUCGCAUCGUUCCACCUGAUGACAGUGUGGCGGAAAUUUAAUUUAUUUACCCCGCCCGAGCAAUCGACAGCAGCCGUGUCGAAUGUAUCUUGCAGAUACACAUUGCCGCUCAUUGAGUGCCUGCCUGCCUGGCCUAUUACUUAUUUUUUUAUCGACGGCAAUGCCAAGGCGCAAUUUGCUCGUGUUGUAAUCAUCAAUCGCAGGCUGAUGGUCAGACGAGUCACCACCAAUCAAUUGCUAUAAUCAUAAAUGGCUUAUCAAGCCAACGAGACGAGCGAGGAAAUGGGGAAUUUGUCUGGUCCUACGCAUUGCCAAUAUACGUAUUUCGUUCAGACAUUGGCACACGCCUGACUGAAUGAGUGAGCUUCUGAGGACAUGGAAGAGCAGUAAGCCUUGGCCUCCUGGUCUUCCUACUCGUGCCUUCCAGCUGCCCAUCAGCAAGCUGGCGAGCAUUGCAAAUGUGUUAAAGUCUCAAGGAUUUCGUGUACUUCUCGGAAAAAGCAAAGCGAGCAACGGAAAAUCUCAGCCAAAGUGGAAGUGGAAGACAUGACACAGCUAGUUUGAGUGCUGCUGCACUCGAAAGUUUGCCCCAUAAGAUAUUCUCUUUCUGCGAAGAAUUGAAUUUCCAGUUUCUCCUUAUUUCAUUUACCUGCGAACAC